rnacentral:lncRNA from 1 species
CAGCCGUGAAGUCUACAGGUGUCGCGAGCCGGCGACGCAGAGCACUGUCCAGCAGUGUCUCAAACCUGAAAGAGCAGCGGGGUGGAGAUGGGGCAGAGAGAAAGGAAGGACGCCAAGACAAGAGUCUGAUCAAGGUGACGUUUAUUGCAGGCAGGCAUCAGCCUUUUAAAGGAAAAGACCGAACUGUUAUGGGCUAGGAUUACCAUAGUAACCUCAACACCCGCUCCACGGGAACGAGGGUUCACACGGGCAAGAGAAAUCAGGCUCAAGAAAAACAAAUUAACAACACUUGCAACUAAUAAUCAUGAUUCCCAAAUAGGUGGAGGAACUUAACAAAAUGGAGUUACAACACCUGACUCCUACAGAUAACGUCAGAUCUUUAACAGGAAGCACCUGACUCCUACAGAUCUUUGGCUGUCCGAGUUUCUCCCGUGCAGGGUCAAAAACAAGUUUAACACGUGCAGUCCUUAAAAAGGAACAAAUGUUAUCUUUCAAAAAGCCAGUGGGCCAUGGCUGGCUUCCCACAUACAGGGAGAAGCCAGGUCUCCAGGGUGCAGUCUGAAGGGGAGCGGAGAUCCCGGCCCUUCUUCCCAGCCAUGAGGUCUGCGAUGGCCUGGGAAGCUGAGGAGUCCUGCCCCUCCUGCCCCUAGGUGCAACCCCUUGGGGCCCUGCUGCCCCUCAGUAGGCAGAGGCCCAGGGAUGGCAGAGGAUACCCUUCCAGAGUGCUCGGGAGGAAGACCACAGCCCUACCUUCUGCCUGGCAUGCGUACCACCCCCAGCAGGACCUUGGCACAUGGUGAGUGCGAGCUGCUUUUUUUCUGCUGUGUGA